rnacentral:rRNA from 1 species
GAUGAACGCUGGCGGCGUGCCUAAUACAUGCAAGUCGAGCGAACGGACGAGAAGCUUGCUUCUCUGAUGUUAGCGGCGGACGGGUGAGUAACACGUGGAUAACCUACCUAUAAGACUGGGAUAACUUCGGGAAACCGGAGCUAAUACCGGAUAAUAUUUUGAACCGCAUGGUUCAAAAGUGAAAGGCGGUCUUGCUGUCACUUAUAGAUGGAUCCGCGCUGCAUUAGCUAGUUGGUAAGGUAACGGCUUACCAAGGCAACGAUGCAUAGCCGACCUGAGGGGGUGAUCGGCCACACUGGAACUGAGACACGGUCCAGACUCCUACGGGAGGCAGCAGUAGGGAAUCUUCCGCAAUGGGCGAAAGCCUGACGGAGCAACGCCGCGUGAGUGAUGAAGGUCUUCGGAUCGUAAAACUCUGUUAUUAGGGAAGAACAUAUGUGUAAGUAACUGUGCACAUCUUGACGGUACCUAAUCAGAAAGCCACGGCUAACUACGU